AGUUUUUCUUUGCUUUUUUAAGCUAGUUUUUUAGCUAGCUGAGGCAUGAAGUUUUUCCUGCGACUGUGGUUUCUUCUUCUGGAACUGUUCAGCUUUUCUCUGGUCCGAAACAGAACAUCACCGAGGGCUCCCCUACAUGGGCCCAGAUGCCAGCUCCAGAUCCCGGUGAGCCUGAGCUGACCCACACCUACAGAAAGGACUCUGAAUCUACAGCAACAGGCAAAUUAAGUGAAUGGAAGAACAGCAUGGAGCUGUCUGGAACUACAUGUAUUUGCCUACUCUGAAACACUCUCCUUUCUAAAACAAAACGACAGCCUGAGAGAUGAGGAUCUUCUUCAGCUUCCACAACUUAAUACCAAGUGUUGUUCUGCUCAGAGCUCUCUUCCCCCCCAUAACGGAGGCACCAGAAAUCCCUGGCAGGGUGCCACACAGCACAAACCCACAAGACCUUGCUUAAAAUCAACCUACAUUGUCAGAUAUCUUUUGAGCUAAGGAGCCUGAAAACCUAGGCUGCAAGGCAACCACCAAAGCUGGAAGGGUUUUUAAGAGAAGACUGUUCAGACCAGUCCCUAGAAGGAGAUAAAAGACUAUGUAAAUUAGUGUCAUAAUUAUCUGGUAGACAAGCUUUGGUACUCAGAAUUCACAGGUUUUAUUUUUAGUUCUGAAAGGAAGUAUGCCUUUUAUGGUUAAUCCCAGUUGGCCUCUUUCUGCUUUCACCAUUCCUACCACUUUAACAAGAGAAAUUAUAGUACUUCUCGUUCAGUUGUUCAUAGGUUUUCCUAUAAUGGUUAUGUGGAACGGGGAUGAACUGACACUUGCAUUGUUUUUCAUAGAUUUGUACAGCAGAGGUGGCCACAACCAGAACUAAUUUCAUAAUUAAUUUCACACUUAUGCUUUCUCCAAAAUUCUGGCUUUAUGUUUAACAAACAUAUCUUAAUGAAUAUGAAUUUAGUCAGCUCAAGCAGUUAGUUCAGAUACAGUAUUAGGAAUCUAUCAUCCAGAUUUGUUUUUAUAUAAAGAAAAUGCAAGUUCUACAGAAAUGAAGUGGCUAGACCUUGAGCACAUUAAGGAAAUCUUACCACCUCCAGACCCUCAAUACCCAGAAAUAUGACUUACUUAGAUUAUAGGACUCUUUUUUUCCCUCUGUAUAACCAGAAAUCUUUUUAUUUUCAAGUAAUGACACUUGCUUUUUAAAUUUUAAAUCACUUUCUUACAGUCACCCAGAGGUUUGCACUAGAGUCAUGUGUCACCCUGCAGAUUGGUGAUGAGUGAAGAAGGCACCACCAUGACUCACUGUCCCCUCAAAUAACCUCCAGACUGUUCUGACCGGAGCUGCAGCAGAAUGCACUGGCUGCUGACUCAAACAGAUGCAUACAGCCUCAUUCUCUUGCUGAGUACAGUGCCUUCCCUGUGCCAUUAAAUAUGAUUCAUACACAGCACAGUGCCAAAAUCAAAAGAACAGAUCAACACUGGCAGACAGUAAAUUCUAAGUCUGCUCUUCUUUGAAUAUUACAUGCAAAUAAUCUGGUAUGAUAAUAAUACCUGUAUAUAGCAACCUGCCUUUCAACCUCAGUAAGGAUGUUACAAAUUCACCAUCUUUAGUACAAACACACAGUCAGUUUGACCAUGGAAGCACCCAAAAAGAAACAGAUGCCUGACACCAAAGUAAGAUAAAUUUAUGUCAGUUUUGCAUCAACUGGUAUUACAGAAUAAUAAUAAUAGUUGGUCAUUAAUUAGCAGACUGUGGUGAAAGCACUGACAUUAAAAGUCAUUAAAACCAUGUCCAAAAAACACCUUCAGAUUUGAGAGAAUCUAACAUUAAUCUCUAUCCCUCAGAAAAGGAGCCAGUGCCUUUGGAAGAAAGAAGGACAUGUGACAGAAGAACUUUUGAGCAAUGUUGUCAGACAGCAUGACAUGAAGCAGUUCCUGUCUUGACAAAAAAGUCACAGAGUUGGCUAAUAAUCCCAUCCUUUUCAACCAGACAGGAUGUGGUUCUACAAGAAAAGAUACACUAUUGACUCCGUUAACCUACAGUGCUGGAAAUAAAUAAUGAAAAAUGCAUUAAUUUCCACUGCUCAUUACCACUUCCAAAAUAGCUGUUACAGGCUUACCUAUCAUUCACACUAUUUUUCAAGAAAAUACUGUAAUCCAGGGAGAAAAGCAUUUCCUAACUCAGUUUUUUUUCCUUCAAGAAAGAACAAAUCUGUGUGUUAAACCUAGUGUUUUCAUCUACUGAUAUUUUUAGAUAUGAUGAAUUAGUCCCUUCCUAUGGUAUAAUGCAGACUCUCAAACCAGAAGAAUUGAUUUUGCUGCCUAGAUUUAAAAGGUUUCACUAGCAAGGAAUUUAACUUACAGUUUUCAGUGAUAUAAAUUGAGGACGGGUUCUAGUAAUGCAAUAAACAACUGCAUCAUAAAAUAAAUUUUGAGAUUGUUCUUAAUAUGGAGAUCAACAAGUAAUUGUGUGUGCGUUUCAUGUGGCUACAAUUUUGUUCAGUGAUACUUGAAAUCCAUGUCAUAAUCCAUGAAUAUAAAUUUAGAUCUAU